rnacentral:rRNA from 1 species
UUACGCUGUUAUCCCUAAGGAAUUUAUUUAUUAUAUUAAUAAGAAUUAAGGUAUAAAUUCAUAAAUAAUGUUUUUGUAUUUAAAAGUUUAUUAAAUUUUAAGAUUGCCCCAAUAAAAUAUUUAAUUUAAUUUAAUUAAUUUAAUAAUAGAAUUUUUAAUAAAUUUAAAUAUAAAAUUCUAUAGGGUCUUCUCGUCUAUUUAUUAAAUUUAAGAAUUUUGACUUAAAUUUUAAUUUUAAUUAAAUUUUUAUUUAUAAAGAAUAUAUUUCAUUAAAUCUUUCAUUCUAGUUUUUAAUUAAAAAACUAAUUAUUAUGCUACCUUUGUACAGAAAUUUAUACUGCAGCCAUUAAAUAAAUUCAUUGGGCAGACUUGACUUAAAAUUUUUUCAGUUAAGACAUGUUUUUGUUAAACAGGCG